rnacentral:rRNA from 1 species
CGCUGGCGGCAGGCCUAACACAUGCAAGUCGAGCGCCCCGCAAGGGGGAGCGGCGGACGGGUGAGUAACGCGUGGGAACGUACCCUUUGCUACGGAAUAGCCUCGGGAAACUGGGAGUAAUACCGUAUGUGCCCUUCGGGGGAAAGAUUUAUCGGCAAAGGAUCGGCCCGCGUUGGAUUAGGUAGUUGGUGGGGUAAUGGCCUACCAAGCCGACGAUCCAUAGCUGGUUUGAGAGGAUGAUCAGCCACACUGGGACUGAGACACGGCCCAGACUCCUACGGGAGGCAGCAGUGGGGAAUCUUAGACAAUGGGCGCAAGCCUGAUCUACGCCAUGCCGCGUGAGCGAUGAAGGCCGUUAGGGUUAGUAAAGCUCUUCAGUGGGGAAGAUAAUGACUGUACCCACAGAAGAAGCCCCGGCUAACUCCGUG